UACAGAGGUGGCAAGCGUUGUUCGGAAUUACUGGGCGUAAAGGGCGCGUAGGCGGCGUUCUAAGUCAGACGUGAAAUCCCCAGGCUUAACUUGGGAACUGCGUCUGAUACUGGAAGGCUUGAGUGCGGGAGAGGGAUGUGGAAUUCCAGGUGUAGCGGUGAAAUGCGUAGAUAUCGGGAGGAACACCAGUGGCGAAGGCGACUACCUGGCCUGUUCUUGACGCUGAGGCGCGAAAGCUAGGGGAGCAAACGGG
rnacentral:rRNA from 1 species